CUGUGUGUGAGAAAGUCCGGUCUAAUCUACUCGCCUUGGAAGUGAGAAAUCGUAGGUUCAAAUCCUACCGCACAGACCA
rnacentral:tRNA from 1 species